GGUGGCUCAGAGGUAGAGCAUUUGCCUUGCAUGCAUGAGACCCUGGGUUCAAUUUCUUAGCACCA
rnacentral:tRNA from 1 species